GUUCGCUCGGAGUAGAGCCGCCGAGCACGUUGGGUGCACAGCAUCGUCCACAAGACCGGAUACCGUUUUCCUGGUGGCCCUGGGUUGCCCGGGACACGCCUCGGGGAGGGACUUAGACCGACCAAUCAGCGAGAUGAAGACUCUUCGGACCUCCUUUUUUGAUUUUCUUCGGACAUUCCGCAGGGGAGGAGAGAAAGGACGCCGCUCCUAGGAUCCGUGACAGUUCGACGCCGCUUUUCGGUUCAGCUGGAAUGGGCCGAUACGAUUUCGAGAUCGGGGGCUAAGGAUUUACCACCGCGUACGAACGGAGUUGCCGCUAUCUCCUCGACAGUUUUUAAUAAUUCGGUAAAAAUCUGGUGGGUCGUAGCAGAUUUUCAGACGGUCAAUCACGGGCGUGAUCCGGUAUCCAGAUAACAGAGCAUAUUGUGGAUUCCUAGUCUCUGGGAUAACGGCAGUAUGACCAGAGCAAAGAAAGCGACGAUAUCAGCAGCAGAGCAACAUCCUCGGAGGAGAGAUAGAGAACAAGAAAGAUCGAGACAGUAGGUCCCCUACACACGAAAAAACCAUUGCAGUUUCAAAUCGAUUAGCUGAAACGGAGGCUGAUGAUAGGUGUGGGAAAUUAAGGAAGAUAAACGUGCGGCUACAGAGCAGUUUCGCUCCUUGUCUGGAGUAUAACAUGUAUCCUCGCAACAUCGACAAGGCCAAUCAUCAUAAGUUCAGAGUGGAUAAUUGCUCUAAUUAAAUUAUUAUAUAUAUUGGAUCGUACUGUUUACAUAUUUUUCUUAUAACUAUCAAAUAAUUAAUCUAAUGUGACUCAGAAUUGAAGUAUUGUGUAUACUAUUCUAAGUUGUAUUGUAAUUAGGCAAAAAUAAUUAUGUAUUUGUUGGAAUGAAUCCAUAAUAUGUAUCACGAAGUCCGAACAUGUAUUUUUGACCUUUGAU